rnacentral:rRNA from 1 species
GACGAACGCUGGCGGCGUGCUUAACACAUGCAAGUCGAACGGAAAGGCCCUGCUUUUGUGGGGUGCUCGAGUGGCGAACGGGUGAGUAACACGUGAGUAACCUGCCCUUGACUGUGGGAUAACUUCAGGAAACUGGGGCUAAUACCGGAUAGGAGCUCCUGCUGCAUGGUGGGGGUUGGAAAGUUUCGGCGGUUGGGGAUGGACUCGCGGCUUAUCAGCUUGUUGGUGGGGUAGUGGCUUACCAAGGCUUUGACGGGUAGCCGGCCUGAGAGGGUGACCGGCCACAUUGGGACUGAGAUACGGCCCGGACUCCUACGGGAGGCAGCAGUGGGGAAUAUUGCACAAUGGGCGGAAGCCUGAUGCAGCAACGCCGCGUGCGGGAUGACGGCCUUCGGGUUGUAAACCGCUUUCGCCUGUGACGAAGCGUGAGUGACGGUAAUGGGUAAAGAAACACCGGCUAACUACGUG